rnacentral:rRNA from 1 species
AACGAACGCUGGCGGCGUGCUUAACACAUGCAAGUCGAACGGGACUUUGGGGCUUGCUUCAAAGUCUAGUGGCGCACGGGUGAGUAACGCGUGGAUAAUCUGCCCUGGUAUCCGGGAUCACAUGUCGAAAGGGGUGCUAAUACGGGAUAAGCCCACGGGGACUUCGGUUUUUGUGGGAAAAGGUGGGGACCUUCGGGCCUACCGUAGCAGGAUGAGUCCGCGUACCAUUAGCUAGUUGGCGGGGUAAAGGCCCACCAAGGCGACGAUGGUUAGCUGGUCUGAGAGGAUGAUCAGCCACACUGGAACUGAGACACGGUCCAGACUCCUACGGGAGGCAGCAGUGGGGAAUUUUGCGCAAUGGGGGAAACCCUGACGCAGCAACGCCGCGUGAGUGAUGAAGGCCUUCGGGUCGUAAAGCUCUGACAGAGGGAAAGAAGUGUAUCAUGGCUAAUAUCCAUGGUACUUGACGGUACCCUCAAAGGAAGCACCGGCUAACUCCGUGCCAGCCGCCGCGGUAACAC